rnacentral:lncRNA from 1 species
AUGUCUGAGCUCUUAAAGCAACCACACCUCAUCGAAAAGGCAACCGAAGAGCUUGAUAGAGUAAUUGGGAGAAACAGAUGGGUAGAAGAGAGAGACCUUGAACAACUUCCUUAUGUAGAUGCAAUUAUGAAAGAGACAAUGAGGAAGCACCCAGUUGCUGUAAUGCUAGCUCCACAUCUAGCUCUUGAAGAUUGCAAUGCGGGAGGUUAUGAUAUUUGCAAAGGAACUAGAGUGUUCAUUAACACAUGGAGCAUGGGGAGAGACCCUUCACUAUGGGAUGCACCAGAUGAGUUUAGGCCUGAGAGGUUCUUAGGGAAGGCCAUUGAUGUGAAGAGGCAGAGUUUUGAACUGCUUCCAUUUGGCUCAGGAAGGAGGAUGUGCCCUGGUUAUAGCCUUGGACUUAAAAUGAUAAGGUCUAGCUUGGCUAACUUGUUAAAAGGGUUUAACUGGAAAUUGCCUGAGAAUAUGAAAACAGAAGACUUGAACAUGGAGGAAGUUUUCGGAUUGACAACACCUCGAAAGUUUCCGCUUGUUGCAGUCAUGGAGCCUCGGCUCCCAACCCAUCUUUAUUAA